AUUCCCCUAGUAACUGCGAGUGAAGCGGGAAAAGCUCAAAUUUAAAAUCUGGUGGUCUUUGGCCAUCCGAGUUGUAAUUUAGAGAAGCGUCUUCCGCGCUGGACCGUGCACAAGUCUCCUGGAAUGGAGCGUCAUAGAGGGUGAGAAUCCCGUCUUUGGCACGGAUGUACCAGGGCUUUUGUGAUGCGCUCUCGAAGAGUCGAGUUGUUUGGGAAUGCAGCUCAAAAUGGGUGGUGAACUCCAUCUAAAGCUAAAUAUUGGCGAGAGACCGAUAGCGAACAAGUACCGUGAGGGAAAGAUGAAAAGCACUUUGGAAAGAGAGUGAAACAGUACGUGAAAUUGUUGAAAGGGAAACGCUUGAAGUCAGUCGCGUCGACCGAGACUCAGCCUUGCCUCGGCUUGGUGUACUUCUCGGCUGACGGGUCAGCAUCAAUUUUGCCCCUUGGAUAAUGGCGAGGGAAAUGUGACACCUUUACGGUGUGUUAUAGUCUUUCGUCGCAUGCAAGGGUCGGGAUUGAGGAACUCAGCACGCGCCCUCGGGCGUCGGGGUUUUUGCCCACGAUACGUGCUUAGGAUGUUGGCGUAAUGGCUUUAAACGACCCGUCUUGAAACACGGACCAAGGAGUCUAACAUGCCUGCGAGUGUUCGGGUGGAAAACCCGUGCGCGCAAUGAAAGUGAAAGUUGGGACCUCUGUCGUGGAGGGCACCGACGCCCGGACCAGACCUUUUGUGACGGCUCUGCGGUAGAGCAUGUAUGUUAGGACCCGAAAGAUGGUGAACUAUGCCUGAAUAGGGUGAAGCCAGAGGAAACUCUGGUGGAGGCUCGUAGCGAUUCUGACGUGCAAAUCGAUCGUCAAAUUUGGGUAUAGGGGCGAAAG
rnacentral:rRNA from 1 species